GGAAGCAAAGGACGGAAAGAAGUGAAGAGGACAUGGUAAUAAAUAAGUACAUCUGCUUUGACAGAGGAAGCGCCACCGAGAUCACCCAUGUGAAUCUCGCUGCCUUCAGUGUCCAUCAUGAUGGCAACGGCGAAGCCCUUCUCGUGGUUCAGCCGCCGGACGCGGUCAAUAACCUCCUUGUGCCACUCCCUCGUUCCGUGGCACAUGUUAAUUCGCGCCACGUUCAUGCCUCCAACGGCUAGGGCCUCCAGCUGCUCGAACCCGCACGUGGCGGGGCCCACCGUGCACACCAGCUUCGUCCUCCGAGUGCUGCGGAAUCCGUUCUCCUUAAGCUCCGCCUCCGUCACGGAGUCCACCUCGAUGGAGCUCGGAUCGGAGAGCGGGGCUGGGACGCCGUUGUUGUCAGAGACGAGGAUUUCCGGGGAGGAAGAGGCGCGGAGGGAGGGGAGACGACGAUGGCGAGGGAAGAGAAGGGUGGGAGGGGGGAGGGAGGCGUGGGUAGGAAUGGCGGUGGGAGGAGGGGCAAAGAGGCGGAGGUUGAGGGAAUGCGAGACCGACAUGGUGGCGCGUGGCAGAGAGAGAGAGAGAGAGAAACAGAGCGGAACGAAAUGAAACGAAGAGCGAAUGUGAAGUGAGGAGAAACUGUGUCUCACUUUUUGGAGUGUUGGGCGUUACUAACGGAGUUGCACUUGUCUCCCUCCAAACGGAACUGCGGAAACUACGAGGCGCGCUCUGUUCUGUUUUGUGCUGUCUAAGACCUGCGUUUUUUCGUUAGGGUCUUGGAUCUUUGGUCGACAAGAAAGAACAUCAUAGGUAACAUAUUUCCGAGGGUCAUGAUCACUGGUGCGCUAAUCUUUCUUAGCAUGAUCUUGCUGUGCCCUCCCAAGAGGUUGGAUUGCUGAAAACUUAGAACGAGAUUAAUUUUUCUUGUAUCAUUUAUACUUCAACGAGCCAAGCAAGUAUGUAGAUUCUUUUCCAGUCUACUUUGUCUAAACGAACAUCGUCUACCAGAUGAUUUGCAAUGGAAAAAAAAAAUUAUAUACAUAUAUACUG